rnacentral:lncRNA from 1 species
CACUUGAUCGUGAUUGAUCCGGACCGUUAGAUCGAUCCUGUGGUUCAGAUGGAAGCGGCGCGAAUUUUCCUGUACGGAUGCGUUGGCCUAUAUAUAGGAGGGAGGCUUUUUCGUUUGAAACUUUACAGUUCCUUACUCAUUUUCUCCAUCGUUAGCCUUUCCUUUUCAAGCUUCCUCUGGUGGUUUUGCUCCUCCGGCGUUUUCCUACUACAAACUCCUUACUCCUAUCUUCAUUUAACCAACGAGUAAGUGUUUCAUCCUUUUAAUCUUUGAAGAUUUUGUUUGGAUUUUACUUUAGAUUGUUGUAGAUAGUUCACGCGGUAGGGGUUU